UUGAACAGAUAGCAUUACUUGGAUGUUUCUUUUCAGCAUUUCCACUUUAUUAUUCCAUUGGUUUCUGAAAUCAUAUACUCUAAUGAAGGGUAGCAGUAUUUUACUUAGUGAACAAAUCUAAAUAGCCAUUUUCUUGCUGAGAUAAAAAAAAAACAAAACAGGUUUCUAUUUUGGAUACCCAAAGUUCAGUGGUUAUUUUAUUUUCAGUUUAUCUUGUUUUAUGUCUUCCUUAGGUAUGUUCACAACAGAUAUUCUUCUCCCAUCAUCUCUGUCAUUUAAAGAACUCUGAGCCCUGAGCAGAGCAGCUGGAGACUCUUAUUUUCCAAUCUGAAAUGCUUUGAAAUCUAAGUUUCAAAGUCUGACUAUAAGAGGAUAGGUGUCCUUGCAAGAAGCCAGUGGACUUGUCCACUCCCAGUACCAUGUGAAAACCUAGCUAGAAGACAAGUGUCAUGUAUGAAGAUAUUUCCAAGAAUUCAAUCUGUAAGUUCUUUGACCUGAAGACUCCCUACCCUCCAGAAAUACAAGUAGUAAUAUCUCUGUAGUUCAUACAUUUCCUAGUCUAAAAUGUUUCCUUAUACUACCCUGAACAAUAAGUAUCCUUGUCUUGUUCCUUAUCUUAAAGGAAAGCUUGCAAGUUUACUAUUACUAAGAUAUUACCUGGGAGCUUUUCACAUGUAAAUUGUAUGAUACAUUUCUUUGAUACCUAAAUUGGUAAUUUUAACCAAGAAAGAAUGUUGAAUUGUUUCAGUUUUUUCCCAUUUAUUGAGAUGAUCAUGUAAAGUUCUGUUCUUGUUCUGUUAACAUAAUAUAUUCAUCAAUUUGCAUAUUGAAUCAUCUUUGCAUCCGAGGAAUAAAUUCCACUAAAUAAUGGCUCAUGAUUAUUUUAAUUGAUGAAUUAAAUCCUUUAACUGAAUUAUUUUUGUAAAGGGUUUUGCAUUUAUAUUCAUUACAGAUACUGGCCAUUGUUUCUGUGCUGAUCUUUAUUAUUUCUUACCUUACAAUAACAGGGCUAAUUUAUUCUUUUCUGACUUCCUUAUGUCUUAACAUUACUUCACAUACUUUUUUGUAAUGCAGGCAUUUCUACAAGCCUCCUUUUUAAUAACAGCUUUUGCUAUAUUCUGGUAUGUUGUUUUCCACUUUACUUUCUCUAAUGAUAUUUUACAAUUUCUCUGUAAAUUCAUUCAUUGAUCUAUUGGCUUUUUAGGAAAAAUGUUUAAUUUCCAUUUAUUUGCCAAUUUUCCCAAACUUUACUCAUUUCUAGUUUCAUCCCAUUUUAAAUGUAAAAGGUUCAUGAUGCAAGUUUUUUGUUUAGUUUAUUACUCUUUGGUUUAUAAAUGUGUGACUUCAGGCACCACAUGCCAUAAAGAACAAGUGGAAGCCAGAGACAACUUGUGGAAGGCAGGAGUCAGUUCUCUCCUUCCACUGUAGAUUGCAGGAACUGAACUCAGGUUGUGAGGCUUGCCAGACAGCACUUCUGCCCAGGGAGCCAUCUCACUGGCCUUACAGAUAUAAUUUAAGUCAAACUUGUUAAGGUUUAUUUUGUGUACUAUCUAUAAUGUGCCCUAGAGAAUGUUUCUUGUGUGCCUCAAAAGAAUGGGCAUUCUGCUGCUGUUGGAUAGAAUGGUCUGUUAGGUACAUUUGAUCCAAAGUGGAGCUCAAGUCCAGUGCUGGUUUUUAGAUAGUCUAUAUGGAUGAUUUACCUACUGUUGAAUGUGACUUAUUAAAACCUAUUGUUACUUAACGAGUAUGUUUUGUCAAAAAUAUUCAAAUUUGCUUCAUCCAGACAGGUAGGAAAAGUGUACACCAGCAAGCCUAGCACUUGAGAGAUAAAUUCAGGAUAUUGAAUUCAGUGUCAGCCUGGGGUAUACACUAAAUUCCACACCAGCUUGGGCUACAUAGGGAGAUCUGAUCUCAUUUUUUUCCUUUUACAUUAGUUACCCCAAAGUUGGGUAUGUGUAUAUUUAUAAUUUUCUAUCUUUUGAUAAACUACUUACCAGUAUAUAAUGACCUUUUUUUUUUUUUUACAGGUUUUGUCUUUUUUUUCUGCUAUGGGUAUCGCUAAACCCUGCUCUCUUCUUGUUUAUAUAUUUAUGGAGUAUCUUUUUUUAAACUCCUUGUACUUUGUUUUGCAUUUGUAUGUCCUUUAAAGCUGAAAUCUCUUAUUGAGGUGUUUAUAGUUGGGCCUUUGUUU